UACGUAGGGGGCAAGCGUUGUCCGGAUUUAUUGGGCGUAAAGAGCGUGUAGGCGGCCAUGCAGGUCCGCUGUGAAAACUGGAGGCUUAACCUCCAGCGGUCGGUGGAAACCGCAUGGCUAGAGUCCGGAAGAGGAGAGUGGAAUUCCCGGUGUAGCGGUGAAAUGCGCAGAUAUCGGGAAGAACACCCGUGGCGAAGGCGGCUCUCUGGGACGGUACUGACGCUGAGGGGCGAAAGUGUGGGGAGCGAACAGG
rnacentral:rRNA from 1 species